rnacentral:lncRNA from 12 species
AAGCGAGGCAGGGAGGCCACGCGGUGACCAUCUCGUUAGGUACUCUCUGCUCCCUUUCCGCGUGUGAGUCACACAGUGGCUUUUCGGAGGCUUUUCAGAGGUGAGGCCUCCUCCGGAGCCAACACUCAACCUCCCGGAGGUGGCACUGGGGCGGCGCGAGGGGCCAGCGGGCGCGUUAUCCUGGAUCCUUCUAUUUGCUGAGACCCUCGCCGGGUACGGCCCAAGUCGGGGGGACACAUGAGUUGUGGGGAACCCUGACCCCAUCUCAGGUAAGCUUCUGAUUUACAGUUCAUUGUGCUUUCCAACAAAUAAUUUUUAUAUAAUAAUCCCACCAGUAAGCACCGAACCUUCUUCUUGGGAAUGCAAUUAAGGGAAAAAUUAGCAAUAAAUUGUUUUCAGUACUUAACCCAGCUCCAAAUUUAUGGUUGCUGGAAUUUAUCGUUUCAGAGGCCUGAAAAACGGCAAUUAAUUUUAUCCCAUUUCCUGUCAUUCACCCUCAAAACCAAAAUGUAAAUAAAGAACCGUGCUCGGGCUUGGCUUUUCCUGCUGGUCACAAACCUCCGAACGGAGCGCCCCUCCCGCCCCGGCCAGUGGCCGCUGACGGCGGCUCCUGAACCUCAGAAGCAGGGAAAACACGCCUCAUCUCCUCUUCUGCCGGUGCUGCCGCCGCUGCCGCCGAGCAACACGCGGGCCGCCGGCCCGGUGCAGGGAUGUGCAUCACGGAGGAGCGUCAACGAGCACCCGGCAAGUUGGAUUCCGGCGCCAAUGCUGGAUGUAUCCGUCUGCCCUAUAAAUAAGCACUGAUCACCUCCAUUUUAUUGAACUCAUUUUCCAGGCAAGCAAAGACCACAAGAUUCUCCUGCACAUUUUCUCUUUACACCCUCUAGUACUGCUGCUAGUGUCAAGUCCGACAGAUUUAUAGCCCAUUCAUUCAUGGGAACAAAAACCCUGCCACGGCUGGUCAUGGGACACGCAAUAGCAGUUAGUUCAAGAGAUAACAACUGCCAUAGCUCACCUCUCCAUUCAGCACUACAGAGCCAGCUCUACUUGGGAGGUAAUAAAUGCUUCUUGUUGUGUGCUUUGAGUCAUAAUCCAGAAAUAACUGUGGUGGGCCUCGCCCCAGGCCCCGCCUCCAGGGGAACAGCUCCCCUCCCCGGGCCCCCACCCCCCGACCGGCUCCAGGCCUCCACUCCAGCCCCCUCUCUGCCUGCCACGGGGACGGCGUGGAGGGCUGCAGGCAGCCCUCGUGGAACCCAAGCCGAGGCCUUACAUCUCAGGCGAUUAUGCAAAGUCGAAAAGCCCGACCUCCUUCUGCGUGGUGCGUGGCCAGGCGGGCACAGGCAUCCAUCCCAGCCUGGCAGUGAACAACCCGGAAAAGUAUAGCCAGGAUCCGUUCCAAACCCAUCCUGGGACAGAUUAGGAAUCUGAAUCUCAGAGCAGGGACAGGUUUGGACAAAGAAGCCACAUGGCAGGUAAGCACUCUGCUUCAUUUCAAAGUCAGCCUCAGCCCCUCACAAGACUGUGUUCGCUCAUCUGUAAUGGGCGUUUUAACUACACCUAACUCAGAGUAUUGUUGUUCGAGCUGAAUGAGAUCUAUAAAUAUAUUAAAUGCUACACAUAAAAAAUACAUAAAUAUAUGUCUUAUCUAAAUAUCGUGUAAUAUAUAAAUACAUUUGUAUAUACAAGCAAAUGUAUUUGUAUAAUAAAUAGUCAAUAG